rnacentral:rRNA from 1 species
UUUAAUGAGAGUUUGAUCCUGGCUCAGGACGGACGCUGGCGGCGUGCCUAAUACAUGCAAGUAGAACGCUGAGGUUUGGUGUUUUCACUAGACUGAUGAGUUGCGAACGGGUGAGUAACGCGUAGGUAACCUGCCUCAUAGCGGGGGAUAACUAUUGGAAACGAUAGCUAAUACCGCAUAAGAGUAAUUAACACAUGUUAGUUAUUUAAAAGGAGCAAUUGCUUCACUGUGAGAU